AUCAAUCUUUUCAAAGGUUCUUUUCAGAACUACAAAACAUUCUUAACACUCUUACAUGUUCUCUCUUUUUUUUAAUUGUUUCUGUUUAUGUGUAUAUGUGUGUCUCUGUGUGCACGUGUGUAUGUCUGUGCAAAUGUCCAUGGGGGACAGAAGAAGGCACUGGGUCCCCAGGAGCUUGAGUUUACUGAUAAUCGUGUACUGCCCAACAUGUGUGCUGCUAACUGAACUUAGAUCCUUUGAAAGAUCAGCAAGCACUCUUAACUACCAAACCUGCUAAACAGCAUUUUCUACAGUUAUUUUUAUUAUUUAGAUGAAGACCUUCAAAUUAUAUGAUAAGAUACUUAUAGCAUAAGAAUAAUGUAAAAUGUAAUGCUGUGAUAAGUCUCAAUAGUGCAGUAUUAGAAACCUCAAUUGUAUGUAAUGACUAUAAAUCAAUACACUAGCAGAUAGAAUAGUUGUCUUUGAUAAUAAUAAGUACGUUUUGUUUAUUCUAGAUUCUAUUGUAAUGUGGGUGGUUAGAAAUUUAUCUUCUGAAAUUACUGUUAUUUUACUAUCAUAAUAGAAUAUAAUUUAAUUAUCAAAAUGUGUUUUUUAAAGAUACUAAUAAAAUUUUUAAAUUGAAUGUUUUAGUUACAGCAAUGCAUAUAUAGUCCCUGCACUCUUUGAUAAGUUAAUAUAUUUCUCUAGCUUUCCAAAAGUCAAAAGAUAAGGAUAGCUUUUAACUUUAUCAUAUAAAGCAAUAUAGGUGAUGAUUUCUAUUAUAUUUGGCAGUACUAUCAAGAAAUGAUAUGCAUAAAAAUAUUGUUAACUAUAGAAGUCACUCAUGAAUAAUUUGAGUAAUUUUAAGCCAUAUUCUACAAAAAUUAUGGCUAGUCUUCUAAAAUUUUAGAAUUAGUAAUAGUUAAGAAGACAAUGAAGUUCUAAAGAUAUUUGCAACAAAUUCUAGCAAAUGCAGUUUUAUAAUGAGCAUACUACUAGAUUUCAUGAGAUGGGUCAAUCCCAGUGAAAUAACACCACAUGUCCAAACUAACCACAAUGCAAUAAAGCUUGAAAUCAGUACCAAAAGAGUCUCUGGAAAUUACAUAAAUUCAUAGAGAUUAAAUAACACUACUGAAUGGUGAACAGAUCAAAGAAGAAAUCAAGAAAAAAAUCAUGAAAGU
rnacentral:lncRNA from 1 species